UACGGAGGGGGCUAGCGUUGUUCGGAAUUACUGGGCGUAAAGCGCGCGUAGGCGGACCUGCAAGUCGGGGGUGAAAGCCCGAGGCUCAACCCUCGGAACUGCCUUCGAUACUGCGGGUCUCGAGUCCGGGAGAGGUGAGUGGAAUUCCUAGUGUAGAGGUGAAAUUCGUAGAUAUUAGGAAGAACACCAGUGGCGAAGGCGGCUCACUGGCCCGGUACUGACGCUGAGGCGCGAAAGCGUGGGGAGCAAACAGGG
rnacentral:rRNA from 1 species